rnacentral:rRNA from 1 species
GUCUCCACCCGAGACUCAGUGAAAUUGAACUCGCUGUGAAGAUGCAGUGUACCCGCGGCAAGACGGAAAGACCCCGUGAACCUUUACUAUAGCUUGACACUGAACAUUGAGCCUUGAUGUGUAGGAUAGGUGGGAGGCUUUGAAGUGUGGACGCCAGUCUGCAUGGAGCCGGCCUUGAAAUACCACCCUUUAAUGUUUGAUGUUCUAACGUGGACCCGUGAUCCGGGUUGCGGACAGUGUCUGGUGGGUAGUUUGACUGGGGCGGUCUCCUCCUAAAGAGUAACGGAGGAGCACGAAGGUUGGCUAAUCCUGGUCGGACAUCAGGAGGUUAGUGCAAUGGCAUAAGCCAGCUUGACUGCGAGCGUGACGGCGCGAGCAGGUGCGAAAGCAGGUCAUAGUGAUCCGGUGGUUCUGAAUGGAAGGGCCAUCGCUCAACGGAUAAAAGGUACUCCGGGGAUAACAGGCUGAUACCGCCCAAGAGUUCAUAUCGACGGCGGUGUUUGGCACCUCGAUGUCGGCUCAUCACAUCCUGGGGCUGAAGUAGGUCCCAAGGGUAUGGCUGUUCGCCAUUUAAAGUGGUACGCGAGCUGGGUUUAGAACGUCGUGAGACAGUUCGGUCCCUAUCUGCCGUGGGCGCUGGAGAACUGAGGGGGGCUGCUCCUAGUACGAGAGGACCGGAGUGGACGCAUCACUGGUGUUCGGGUUGUCAUGCCAAUGGCACUGCCCGGUAGCUAAAUGCGGAAGAGAUAAGUGCUGAAAGCAUCUAAGCACGAAACUUGCCCCGA